rnacentral:rRNA from 1 species
GUGGGUCGAUGAAGAACGCAGCCAACUGCGAUAAGUAGUGUGAACUGCGGAAACCUUGAACACAGAACAUUCGAAUGCACAUUGCGCCACUGGAGUAACAUCCAUUGGCACGCCUGGUUCAGGGU